AUUUUAUAUGAGAGUUUGAUCCUGGCUCAGGAUGAACGCCGGCGGUGUGCCUAAUACAUGCAAGUCGAACGCGUUGGCCCAAUUGAUUGACGGUGCUUGCACCUGAUU
rnacentral:rRNA from 1 species